GACGAACGCUGGCGGAGUGCUUAACACAUGCAAGUCGAACGGUGAAGCGCCUUCCUUUUUGGUGGGUGUGGAUGAGUGGCGAACGGGUGAGUAACACGUGAGUAACCUGCCCCCUUCUUCUGGAUAACCGCAUGAAAGUGUGGCUAAUACGGGAUAUUCUGGGUCUGUCGCAUGAUGGGUCUGGGAAAGAUAUUGUUUCGGUGGGGGAUGGGCUCGCGGCCUAUCAGCUUGUUGGUGGGGUGAUGGCCUACCAAGGCGGUGACGGGUAGCCGGCCUGAGAGGGUGGACGGUCACACUGGGACUGAGACACGGCCCAGACUCCUACGGGAGGCAGCAGUGGGGAAUAUUGCACAAUGGGCGCAAGCCUGAUGCAGCGACGCCGCGUGAGGGAUGGAGGCCUUCGGGUUGUGAACCUCUUUCGCCAGUGAAGCAGGCCUGCCUCGUUUGUGGGUGGGUUGACGGUAGCUGGAUAAGAAGCGCCGGCUAACUACGUG
rnacentral:rRNA from 1 species